rnacentral:rRNA from 1 species
AAGAGCCGGUAUUAAGGCUUGAGGCCAAAUGGUUCCCAGGGGAUAAACACAGGGCUUCGAGGCAGGAGUGAAGUCGAUCCAGGGGUAGGGGAGCGUUGUAUGCGGAUUGAAGGUUGACCGAGAGGACAGCUGGACUUCAUACAAGUGAGAAUGCCGGUAUGAGUAACGAAAAGAUCAGUGAGAAUCUGAUCCGCCGAAAGCCCAAGGUUUCCUGAGG